rnacentral:rRNA from 1 species
GACGAACGCUGGCGGCGUGCUUAACACAUGCAAGUCAAGGAGAAAAUAGCCUUCGGGUUAUAAGUAAACUGGCGGACGGGUGAGUAACGCGUAGGCAACCUGCCCUUGUGAUUGGGAUAACUCCGAGAAAUCGGGGCUAAUACCGAAUGAAGUUAUUAUUUUGCAUGAGAUAAUAAUUAAAGGUGUCGCAAGUUACCGCACAGGGAUGGGCCUGCGUUCCAUUAGUUAGAUGGUGAGGUAACGGCUUACCAUGGCAGCGAUGGAUAGCUGAUCUGAGAGGGUGAUCAGCCACACUGGGACUGAGAUACGGCCCAGACUCCUACGGGAGGCUG